rnacentral:antisense_RNA from 1 species
CUUGAUGGAACCCAAGAGCAGAGGCGUGGAGCGGUCCUGGCCGUAGGUCGCCAGCAGGGCCUGCGCCUC